UGGCACGGUAAACUCCACCCGAAGCAAGACCAAAUAGGCCCCUAUUGGCGCGGCCCGCGUUGGGGGCGGGUAGGUUGCUUGAGCCAGUGAGCGAUUGCUGGCCUAGAGGAAUGAUUGCUACCCGGGGCAACCCGGUACAGAACCCGGCUUACAGGCCGACUCCGACC
rnacentral:RNase_P_RNA from 1 species